ensembl:lncRNA
GCCAAGUCAUUUAUUAAACAAAACAAGAGAAAAAUGGUACAUGACUUGCGUUAUUCUUAGACUUCCACAGUAUUUAAAAGCAGAGAAAUCCUUUUCAGUAUUUUCAAUGAAGCAUGUACCUUACUUUCACUUAGAAAACUUUUCCUAAGUAAUUCUUCAGAUUCUGUUUCUCUAAUAGGUUGGAAUCAACAUGUACAAUUAUUAUAUUAGAAAAUGUACCCAGAUACUUUCUUCUCCUUGCUACUGCUUCCAGCUCCUCCCACUGUCACUGAACACCAGGAUGCAGCUGGUGCCCAGUCAGAGCUCCCGUGUGCUCCCUGGGGCCACAGCAGUGACUGCCAUUCUCUCUUCAAGGUCAGUCUGCACCCUGUGGUAUUUAUUUGACACAAGUAGGGUCCAGCCACCAGUUCCUCUUUGGAAACAAAAAAAGAAAAAUGGUAAAGAAGAGAAAAUUAUUUAACAUAGUUACUAUGGAGUAGAAAAUCUAUCAGGUUAUAAGUAUAUAUUAAAUUUAAUAAAAUCAUAGAUUCACAAUAGAAAAAGAAAGAAACAGAGGAAUUAUGCGUAAAUGGAUAAACUCUAAACUGCUUUCACAUUUAGCUAAGUGGCCCUCUGACAGUACAGGUGUCCCACUGAGUGGAGAAGGUGUCUGAUGUAACAUAGGUGGCCACUUAAACAGAGUUCCUGUCACUUUUGGAACUAGUGUACUUAACAACCCUUGUAGAGGAUUUGUCCUUUGCCAAACAACAGAAUGAACUCCUAUGAUAGGAAGUACAGUAUUAAGCACUGAGGAAACAAAGAUGGUUAAGAUCUGGAGCAGCAAGUGGUCCAGGAAUUGUGUUCAACUUGGACAUUUAUCUGGGGAGAGCUAACAUCUUUAGUAUGUUAGUGGAAUCUUCCAACCCAAGAAAACUGUAUGUCUCUCCAUACAAGACAUGCCACGUCUUCUUGGAUCACUGUUACUAGCACUUUGUAAUUCUAAGUAGCCCCCCAGUACAUAGUUGUAUAUUCUUCGUUGUGGGGCCUUCUAGUUGUGGCAUGCGGGACACUACCUCAGUGCGGUUUGAUGAGCAGUGCCAUGUCCGCGCCCAGGACUUGAACCAACGAAACAUUGGGCUGCCUGCAGUGGAGCACGCGAACCCAACCACUCGGCCACGGGGCCAGCCCCCCAUAUAUCAUUAUUUUUGAAUUGUAUAUCUUAGUUGCAGGUCCUUCUAGUUGUGGGAUGUGGGAUGCCGCCUUGAUGUGGCCUGAUGAGUGGUGCCAUGUCCCCGCCCAGGAUCUGAACCCUGGGCCACCGCAGCAGAGUGUGCAAACUUAAUCACUCGGCCACAAAGCCAGCCCCUGUUUUUUAUGCAUUAUACCAUAAUGAUGGAUACAGUUGUUCAAACCUAUAGAAAGUACAAAUGAAGAGUGAACCGUAAUGUAAACUCUGGAUUUUGAGUGAUUAUGAUGUGUUAAUGUAGAUUCAUCACUUGUAACAAAUGUACUUCUCUGGUGGGGGAUGUUGAUAAUGGGAGAGGCUAUGCAUGUGUAGGAGCGUGGAGUAUAUGAGAAAUCUCUGUAAUUUUCCUUCAAUUUUGCUGUGAACCUAAAACUCCUCUAAAAAAAGUCUCAAUAAAAAGUGAAAAAAAACAUAUUUUUGACUAAUGCUGCUUUCAAGAACCACAACUUUUGGAUUUUGUUGUUUACAAAACAACAAAAUAUCUCUUUACAAUACCCAUCUAUUUCACUGAGCACUCUGAUAAGAAGAUGGAGAAGAUAUGUG